UGCCUCCUGGGUUCCAGUGAUUCUCCUGCCUCAGACUCCUGAGUAGCUGGGAUUACAGGUGCCUGCUACCAUGCCCAGGUUGUCUGCAAGCUAAGGAACAAGGAGAGUCAUUCUGAGUCCCAAAACUGAAGAACUUGGAGUCUGAUGUUCGAGGGCCGGAAGCAGCCAUCAUGGGAGAAAAAUGUAGACUGAGAAGGUACUAAAUGAACAUACCUCAAAAUUAUAAGAGACAUACAUGACAGAACCGCAGCCAAUAUCAUCGAAUGGGUAAAAGCUGGAAGCAUUUCUCUUGGAAACUGGCACAAGAAAAGGAUGCCCUCUCUCACCACUGCUAUUCAACAUAGUACUGAAAGUCCUGGGCAGGGAAAUCAGGUAUAGACA
rnacentral:lncRNA from 1 species